rnacentral:tRNA from 1 species
GCCUGGGUGGCUCAGUCGGUUAAGCGUCCGACUUCGGCUCAGGUCAUGAUCUCGCGGUUCGUGGGUUCGAGCCCCACGUCAGGCU